GAUGAACGCUAGCUACAGGCUUAACACAUGCAAGUCGAGGGGAAACGAUAUUGGAAGCUUGCUUCCGAUAGGCGUCGACCGGCGCACGGGUGAGUAACGCGUAUCCAACCUGCCCAUCACUUGGGGAUAACCUUGCGAAAGUAAGACUAAUACCCAAUGACGUCUCUAGAAGACAUCUGAAAGAGAUUAAAGAUUUAUCGGUGAUGGAUGGGGAUGCGUCUGAUUAGCUUGUUGGCGGGGUAACGGCCCACCAAGGCGACGAUCAGUAGGGGUUCUGAGAGGAAGGUCCCCCACAUUGGAACUGAGACACGGUCCAAACUCCUACGGGAGGCAGCAGUGAGGAAUAUUGGUCAAUGGACGAGAGUCUGAACCAGCCAAGUAGCGUGCAGGAAGACGGGCCCUAUGGGUUGUAAACUGCUUUUAUAAGGGAAUAAAGUGGGAGUCGUGACUCUUUUUGCAUGUACCUUAUGAAUAAGGACCGGCUAAUUCCGUG
rnacentral:rRNA from 1 species